GAUGAACGCUGGCGGCGUGCCUAAUACAUGCAAGUCGAGCGAAGCGGGGACGGGUGAGUAAAACGUGGAUAACCUCCUAUAAGACUGGGAUAACUUCGGGAAACAGGAGCUAAACCGGAUACUUAUAGAUGGAUCCGCGGUGCAUUAGCUAGUUGGUAAGGUAACGGCUUAUCAAGGCAACGAUGAAUAGCCGACCUGAGAGGGUGUUCGGCCAAUCUGUAACUUAGACACGGUCCAGAGUCCGACGGGAGUAAGCAGUAGGGAAUCUUCCGCAAUGGGCGAAAGCCUGACGGAGCAGAGCUGGUUGAGGGAUGAGGGUCUGCGAAUCGUAGGACUCGGUUAUUAGGGAAGCGGUACCUAAUCAGAAAGCCACGGCUAACUACGUGUCAGCGGCGGCGGUAAUAC
rnacentral:rRNA from 1 species